GUUUCAGCCGCCGCGGUAAUACGGAGGAUCCAAGCGUUAUCCGGAAUCAUUGGGUUUAAAGGGUCCGUAGGCGGUUUAGUAAGUCAGUGGUGAAAGCCCAUCGCUCAACGGUGGAACGGCCAUUGAUACUGCUAAACUUGAAUUAUUGGGAAGUAACUAGAAUAUGUAGUGUAGCGGUGAAAUGCUUAGAGAUUACAUGGAAUACCAAUUGCGAAGGCAGGUUACUACCAAUAUAUUGACGCUGAUGGACGAAAGCGUGGGGAGCGAACAGGAUUAGAUACCCCAGUAGUCC
rnacentral:rRNA from 1 species